GUGUUGUAUGAAAGGAUAGAAGGUUAGCAACCCUCUUGAUAAGGAUGGAAGGUGUCCUAGUGGCCUUACAACACACAAAUAGUUAAAAGCGUUGUCAUCUAUUUGUUGGUCCCUAGCCAUGUUUUC